UGAAGGUCAGGCUGAAGACCUUACCCGAUUAGCUGAGAGGUGGUGCAUGGCCGUCGUCAAUUCGUACUGUGAAGCAUCCUGUUAAGUCAGGCAACGAGCGAGACCCACGUCCACAGUUGCCAGCAUACCCUCCGGGGUGAUGGGUACACUGUGGAGACCGCCGCUGCUAAAGCGGAGGAAGGAGUGGGCAACGGUAGGUCAGUAUGCCCCGAAUCUCCCGGGCUACACGCGGGCUACAAUGGUUGGUACAAUGGGCAUCUACCCCGAAAGGGGAAGGAAAUCUCUUAAAGCCAACCGUAGUUCGGAUUGAGGGCUGCAACUCGCCCUCAUGAAGCUGGAAUCCGUAGUAAUCGCGUUUCAACAGAACGCGGUGAAUACGUCCCUGCUCCUU
rnacentral:rRNA from 1 species